CCUACGGGGGGCUGCAGUGAGGAAUAUUGGUCAAUGGGCGAGAGCCUGAACCAGCCACGUAGCGUGAAGGAUGACUGCCCUAUGGGUUGUAAACUUCUUUUAUAAAGGAAUAAAGUGAGGCACGUGUGCCUUUUUGAAUGUACUUUAUGAAUAAGGAUCGGCUAACUCCGUGCCAGCAGCCGCGGUAAUACGGAGGAUCCGAGCGUUAUCCGGAUUUAUUGGGUUUAAAGGGAGCGUAGAUGGGUUGUUAAGUCAGUUGUGAAAGUUUGCGGCUCAACCGUAAAAUUGCAAUUGAUACUGGCAGUCUUGAGUACAGUUGAGGUAGGCGGAAUUCGUGGUGUAGCGGUGAAAUGCUUAGAUAUCACGAAGAACCUCGAUUGCGAAGGCAGCUUACUAAACUGUGACUGACAUUGAUGCGCGAAAGUGUGGGUAUCAAACAGGAUUAGAUACCCGAGUAGUC
rnacentral:rRNA from 1 species